rnacentral:lncRNA from 1 species
CCACACUAACCAGAACAACAGCCAAAGACACCAACACAAUCGAAGGAGCCGCUACUCCAUGUAACGCUCCAUUAUUUGACGGGGCCGUCGACUCCUGGGACCCUGGUGGCGGAGAAGCAGUUCCCGGCGAUGUGGGGCCCGCAGGCUGGCCGGAUGGAGCAGGUGUAGCACCCGCAGGUUGGCCGGAUGGAGCAUGUGUAGGUGCGAGCCCCUCCGGAGGCGGUGCGGGUGGAGAAGUAACAGUUCCCGACUGUGUGGGGCCCGCAGGCCCGCCAGAUGGAGCAAGUAUGGGCCCCCCAGGCACGCCAGAAGGAGUAGGUGCGAGCCCCUCCGGAGGCGGUGCGGGUGGAGAAGUAGUUGGAGUAUAGCCUGACGCCGGAGAUGGCACCAUAGAAGUUGACGGCGACGGCGACGGUUGUGAUGACCCUGGCCCUGGUGAAGCAGAUGGAGGAGUUGUAAUCACUGGUGAUGGAGAUGGAGAGACCGGGCCCCCAGCUGGGGGUAGCCCGGGCCCUUGUGGUGGGGACGCCGCAGGAGGGUGGUAGGGCUUCUGAGGAGCGGUAGGGCUAGUAGGAGUGGUAGGGCCAGGGCCAGGAGCGGUAGGGCUAGUAGGAGGAGGAGGGAGGACUGGUGGCUUGGGCUGCCUCGGGGCCAAGACAAUAACAAGAAGCUUCUGACCCUUUUGACAAUUACCAUUUUGGCCACUGAUAAAGUAGAAAGGCCCAGACCUAUCGACGGUGAAGUCGGAGUCGCCACCGUCGAGUUUCUGAAUAGGGUUUUGGGUGUUGCAGCUGAAGUAGUCGUCUUUGUUCACGACGAGCACCGAGUCUGACCCUUUCUUGUAUUUGAAAUCU